CUUUUGAACUUCAAUUCGUGCGGACGUGUGAGAGAGAAAGAAGAAGAAAAAGUGAACAUAACAAACAAAAACAAGUGCAAAAAACAAAGCGACAGAAUUAGAAACUUGAAAGGUGUUUUUUUUCCUCAACAACAACAACAACAAAAAACGUUAAAAAAGGAACGAUAGAUAGAUAACCAACCAAGAAACAAACAAUAACAA